rnacentral:rRNA from 1 species
UACGGAGGGUGCGAGCGUUGUCCGGAAUCACUGGGCGUAAAGCGCACGUAGGCGGAUUGCUAAGUCAGGGGUGAAAUCCUGGAGCUCAACUCCAGAACUGCCUUUGAUACUGGUGAUCUUGAGUCCGGGAGAGGUGAGUGGAACUGCGAGUGUAGAGGUGAAAUUCGUAGAUAUUCGCAAGAACACCAGUGGCGAAGGCGGCUCACUGGCCCGGUACUGACGCUGAGGUGCGAAAGCGUGGGGAGCAAACAGG